GUCCAAGUAAUUUAGCUAAAAUACUGGUCUAGUAAACCAGCAACGAAGGUUGACCCCUUCCUAGGACA
rnacentral:tRNA from 1 species